rnacentral:rRNA from 1 species
ACGGGUGAGUAACACGUGGGCAAUCUGCCCUUCACUCUGGGACAAGCCCUGGAAACGGGGUCUAAUACCGGAUACCACUUCCACUCGCAUGGGUGGGGGUUGAAAGCUCCGGCGGUGAAGGAUGAGCCCGCGGCCUAUCAGCUUGUUGGUGAGGUAACGGCUCACCAAGGCGACGACGGGUAGCCGGCCUGAGAGGGCGACCGGCCACACUGGGACUGAGACACGGCCCAGACUCCUACGGGAGGCAGCAGUGGGGAAUAUUGCACAAUGGGCGAAAGCCUGAUGCAGCGACGCCGCGUGAGGGAUGACGGCCUUCGGGUUGUAAACCUCUUUCAGCAGGGAAGAAGCGAAAGUGACGGUACCUGCAGAAGAAGCGCCGGCUAACUACGUGCCAGCAGCCGCGGUAAUACGUAGGGCGCAAGCGUUGUCCGGAAUUAUUGGGCGUAAAGAGCUCGUAGGCAGUCUGUCGCGUCGGAUGUGAAAGCCCGGGGCUUAACCCCGGGUCUGCAUUCGAUACGGGCAGACUAGAGUGUGGUAGGGGAGAUCGGAAUUCCUGGUGUAGCGGUGAAAUGCGCAGA